rnacentral:rRNA from 1 species
UACGAAGGGGGCUAGCGUUGCUCGGAAUCACUGGGCGUAAAGGGCGCGCAGGCGGCCCUCCAAGUCAGGCGUGAAAGCCCCGGGCUCAACCCGGGAACAGCGCUUGAGACUGGGGGGCUUGAGUUCGGGAGAGGAGAGUGGAAUUCCAGGUGUAGCGGUGAAAUGCGUAGAUAUCUGGAGGAACACCGGUGGCGAAGGCGGCAUCCUGGACCAACACUGACACUGAGGAGCGAAAGCCAGGGGAGCAAACGGG